UACGGAGGAUGCAAGCGUUAUCCGGAAUGAUUGGGCGUAAAGGGUCCGCAGGUGGCAAUGUAAGUCUGCUGUCAAAGAAUGAGGCUUAACCUCAUCAAGGCAGUGGAAACUACAUAGCUAGAGUACGGUCGGGGUAGAAGGAAUUCCUGGUGUAGCGGUGAAAUGCGCAGAUAUCAGGAAGAACACCUAUGGCGAAGGCAGCUCUCUGGGACGGUACUGACGCUGAGACGCGAAAGCGUGGGGAGCGAACAGG
rnacentral:rRNA from 1 species